GACGAACGCUGGCGGCGUGCUUAACACAUGCAAGUCGAACGGCAAGGCCCUGCUUUUGUGGGGUUCUCGAUUGGCGAACGGGGGAGUAACACGUGAGUAACCGGCCCUUGACUUUGGUGGAAGUUCACGAAACUGGGGCUAAUACCGGAUAGGAUCUCCUGCUGCAUGGUGGGGGUUGGAAAUUUUCGGCGGGUGGGGAUGGACUCGCGGCUUACCGGCUGGUUGGUGGGGUAGUGGCUUACCAAGGCUUUGACGGGUAGCUGGCAUUAGAGGGUGACCGGCCACAUUGGGACUGAGAUACGGCCCAGACUCCUACGGGAGGCAGCAGUCGGGAAUAUUGCACAAUGGGCGGAAGCCUGAUGCAGAAACGCCGCGUGCGGGAUGACGGCCUGCGGGGUGUAAAAAGCUUUCGCCUGUGACGAAGCGUGAGUGACGGUAAUGGGUAAAGAAGCACCGGCUAACUACGUG
rnacentral:rRNA from 1 species